GACGAACGCUGGCGGCGUGCCUAAUACAUGCAAGUAGAGCGCUGAAGGAGGAGCUUGCUUCUCCGGAUGAGUUGCGAACGGGUGAGUAACGCGUAGGUAACCUGCCUGGUAGCGGGGGAUAACUAUUGGAAACGAUAGCUAAUACCGCAUAACAGUAGAUGUUGCAUGACAUUUGCUUAAAAGGUGCAAUUGCAUCACUACCAGAUGGACCUGCGUUGUAUUAGCUAGUUGGUGAGGUAACGGCUCACCAAGGCGACGAUACAUAGCCGACCUGAGAGGGGGAUCGGCCACACUGGGACUGAGACACGGCCCAGACUCCUACGGGAGGCAGCAGUAGGGAAUCUUCGGCAAUGGACGGAAGUCUGACCGAGCAACGCCGCGUGAGUGAAGAAGGUUUUCGGAUCGUAAAGCUCUGUUGUAAGAGAAGAACGAGUGUGAGAGUGGAAAGUUCACAAUGUGACGGUAUCUGACCAGAAAGGGACGGCUAACUACGUG
rnacentral:rRNA from 1 species